rnacentral:rRNA from 1 species
CGUAAACAACCUGCCUUCAGGAUGGGGACAACAGACGGAAAUGACUGCUAAUACCGAAUAAGUUCCAAGAGCCGCAUGGCCCAUGGAAGAAAAGGUGGCCUCUACCUGUAAGCUAUCGCCUGAAGAGGGGUUUGCGUCUGAUUAGCUGGUUGGAGGGGUAACGGCCCACCAAGGCGACGAUCAGUAGCCGGUCUGAGAGGAUGAACGGCCACACUGGAACUGAGACACGGUCCAG